AACAAACGCUGGCGGCGUGUCUUAAGCAUGCAAGUUGAGCGGCAAGGAGGAGAGAUCCUCCCUAGAGCGGCGGACUGGUGAGUAACGCGUGGGUAAUCUAUCGUAGGCAUGGGGAUAGUCACUAGAAAUAGUGGGUAAUACCGAAUACGUUCCAUGAGGGGAGUAUUCAUGGAAGAAAGGGUGCUACGGCACUGGCCUUAGGUGAGCUCGCGUCCCAUUAGCUAGUUGGUGAGGUAAAGGCCCACCAAGGCGAUGAUGGGUAGCCGGCCUGAGAGGGUGGCCGGCCACACUGGGACUGAGACACGGCCCAGACUCCUACGGGAGGCAGCAGUGGGGAAUAUUGCGCAAUGGACGGAAGUCUGACGCAGCGACGCCGCGUGAGCGACGAAGGCCUUCGGGUCGUAAAGCUCUGUUCUUGGGGACGAAUAAAAUGACGGUACCAACGGAGAAAGCCCCGGCUAACUACGUGCCAGCAGCCGCGGUAAGCUCGUCUCUA
rnacentral:rRNA from 1 species